AAUUCUCUGCCUUCCUCUCGCCUCGACUCGCAGCUCGACUCUCUGCCUCCUCUUUGCCGUCUCGACUUUCCAUCGCCUCCUCCUCACAGCCUCUUCCUCGCCGCCUCGACUUUCCACCAUCUUCGCCGCCUCAUUCUCACUGCCUCUUUAUUUCUUUUUUGAUUGCUUCGUAGAGAGUCUUCCUGCGGUGAAGACGACGGUUUUUUACAAAUUUUUGUUCUAUGAUAAUCAUCUUAUCAUUUUAAAGGUUCGGGCUUUUUGUGACCUUGCGAGUUCUUAAAGUUGAGCAAAGAGGAGUUGUGUUUUUUUUAAUCUCCUUCUAUUCGAGAGGAAUUUUUUCCUCAGGGAGGGAUGUGGUGACUUCCAACAAGGCGAGAUGUAGAUCUGGAUUGAGGUGAACUAGGCCGAAUUGGGAGAAGAAAUUAAAAAAAAAAAAAAAAAAAAGCGAAUAAGGGAUCAUUGAAUUUCCCAUGGUCGAGAUCCUUGUUAGGGUUUUAUUUUCUGAUAUGGUUUUGAAAUCUAUGGGCAACUUCUCCAAAACAAGUUUUGUGUGCAUGUGUAUUUUGUUUUGGUUGUUGUUCCCUUGAAAUAGAAAAACAGUGUUUUUUAUAAUUAAAUGUACAAUGCAAUAUUUAUCCCAAUCUAAUUUUAGAUGAUUUGAUUAUGAAUUUGAAAUGAGGUGGAAUGAUGUUUGAUCAUUUUGCUAUUUUUUCAAGAUAGAGAACUCAAUUAAUGAUUGGGAAGAUCAAUCUCAAUUUCUAAAUUUUGAAAACAUGGGAGUUUGUCAAACUGGCAUCUAUGAGAAUCCUUCACUGGUCUACACCGGCUAUGGUUACAGUCCUCAGAUGUCAUAUGGCCCAUAUUCACAUGUCACCUCUACCUUUGAUUAAUGGAGAUGAUCAUCUUUACUCCACUUAAUUAGCAAUUCCAGUUCCCAGAGAUUGAUGUUUCACCACAACCUAUUGGCGCUCACUCUUUUGGGCAAGAGAAAGUUAUGUUUUUAGUCCGGUAACUUGUAUCUUUUUCAAUUUUAAUCCUGUUAUGAGUUAAUUUAUGUUCUUAGUCCUGUAACUUGUAAUAUUUUCCAAUUUCAGUCUUUUUUCCUCCAAAAUUGAAAAUUUUCAACGGAAAAUGGAAUUGAAUUUGGGGAUUUUGAUUUUUUAUGACCUAUGUAUUUUUUAUAUUCCAACCACAAACUAGACAUUUUUCGUUGAAAAAUUUUAAUUUUGGAGGAAAAGGAUUGAAAUUGAAAAAUAUUAUAAGUUGCAGGACUAAGAAUAUAAAUUAAUUCAUAACAGGACU